rnacentral:misc_RNA from 1 species
GAUGAAGAACGUAGCGAAAUGCGAUAAGUAGUGUGAAUUGCAGAAUUCAGUGAAUCAUCGAAUCUUUGAACGCACAUUGCGCCCCUUGGUAUCCCGAGGGGCAUGCCUGUUCGAGCGUCAUUUCACCACUCAAGCCUGGCUUGGUGUUGGGCGACGUCCUCUUUGGGGACGCGCCUCGAAACGCUCGGCGGCGUGGCACCGGCUUUAAGCGUAGCAGAAUCUUUCGCUUUGGAAGUCGGGGCCCCGUCUGCCGGAAGACCUGCUCGCAAGGUUGACCUCAAAUCAGGUAGGACUACCCGCUGAACUUAAGCAUAUCAAUAAGCGGAGGA